GGCGACACACAAGCGUGCCGGGGCUU
rnacentral:tRNA from 1 species